UUUCUCUAAUCACAGGAGUGAAAAUGAAACCGCACAAUCGCUUUGACUGCAACAGUAGCUUCAGUGCAUCAACAUCCUCGUGAAGCUUAACAGGUUAAGGUUCAUUCGUCAGGUCUAAACAAACGAAUUACAGCUCACAUCGAUCUAACGAUUCCUGUUUCUUCUCUGUUCAUGAUAAUUCUCUGAUAAAAGAGACUCAGAAUGGAGUUUCAACUCUUCAUCAGGUUUAAUGACAAGAGAGACACAGUGUUAGAUGUGGCGAAUUCAUCAGAAGAGUUUGAUCAAAUCACCGUCAAAGAAGUGAAGGAGAAAUUCAAACGUGUGGAUCCUGAAACACCUGCCAUAGAUCGCAUAAGGGUGAUUUUUGGAACUGAACAACUGGAUGAUAAGAAAACGCUUAAGUGUUAUAAUAUCACACAUGGAUCUGUUCUUAUCUUUGUGAUAAGAACGGAUGGUGGAAAAAAAGAAGGUGAAACUAGUGGUGAAGGAGCAGAAGGUGGAGGACUUCGCAGGACUGAAUCCAUGGAAAGACUUCACGUAAAAAUGUAGUUAUAUGUUAGACUCUCUUGGCAUUCAGAAUUUAAUAUUUCACAUAUUGCAAAAAACACUGAUUUUUCCUAGAGGUUUGGUCAACUUGUCUCAGAAUGUCUCAGACAAUUUUCAAAGAGAGAUUUGGCUUGCAAAAUGAGUGAUGAAAAACAGCAAUAUAGGAGCCCUUAUGUUGUAUUUUUGCACCAAAGUAGACUUUUUCCUACAUUCAAACAUGUUCAUAUGUUGUAUUUUUAAAACUGCAUAACAACAACAUCAGUGCAUCGCCCAAAUAAUUAAAGUGUUACAUUAAAUAAAUAAAUAAAAAUGUU